rnacentral:lncRNA from 1 species
GUGCUCACUGUGUGGAAAAUGGCAGAUCUAGCGAUAAUUAAAACUGUGAAAUAAAGAUGAAAAGUGGAAAAAUUUGAUGUUCACGGGCAUUUCUUCAACUCAACCAUCAAAUGAAAACAAACGCUUCAUGGACAAAUAAAUACUUUAGUUUUACAUUAAAUAAUUUUUCAGGUGAAACAAUAUUAAAACCCCCGGUUUAAGCGAACAAAUUGUUAUCAACGUCAGGGUAGCUGCUAAGCCCCCACGUUCACUUAGUAUUUGGGUUAGAUGAAAAUUCAGGUCUCCAUGUCAUUUGUCGAUCCACGAAUGAAUGUCCGGUAUCAGUCUUUGGGUCCACCGUCCUUUGAGUAAGACGGCUCUGAUAACUUGCAUCAAUCUGGCUAUUACUUCAGCAGCGUCACUUGAUAUUGUUCGAUAAGCACUGAUUGUAAUCUUAGUACCAACAGCCAGUGGACUGUGCUUAUUUGUGUGUUAUUUGCUUUAACGCCUAGCGCCUGGAUCCAUAUGGAGUCGCAUACAAUACAACCGAUCUCAUUACCUUUGCGAGCGAAAAUCGCCGGCUGGAACACACGCAGCCUUUAUUUGCCAUUAUUCUUCAAAAGGCGUUUAGGAUUUUAUUCGCUUUAGCUGCAGUGUACUCUGAGCCUUCUCAGCCAAUUCUAAACUCAUUGAGAAGAACCAUUGGCGAAGAUCGUUUAUACACUCGUAGGGUGUAGUUAUAAUAUUUGAUUUGCUUGAAGAAAAGGAAGGGCGUGCAUUACAUGUAGCUAAAUUUAGUGUUAAGACAUAUUUUUCAAAUGUGUAUUGAACUAAAAAUGUUUUGAUGAAAAAAAAAAAAUUGCAACAGAUUUGGUAGGCAUUUUGGUAUCCAAAGGUUUUCUCAAGUGCGAACACUGAUCAUGACAUUUGCAUAGCUCUAACAACUAAGUAUUGCGAAAUAAAUUCACUUUGUCAUUUCAUUUAUUUAUGGUCUUACAAAUAACUGUUGGCUCUGUAAGACUAUUUCACUAUUUGCAAAAUGAUAACCUCAUUUUCGUAUAUAAAGUGAAAAAUCUCCUAUUUUCUAUUGUAAA